GUGUUUUUUGCUGUAGUUUCUGCUUUGGCUGUUUGUGGACCAGCUUUGUAUUGGAGAUUCAAGAAGGCUUUGCAAUUGGGAGAUUCAAAAGCCUCCUGUCCUCCUUGCAUCUGCGAUUGUCCACCCCCAUUAUCCCUUUUGAAGAUUUCCCCUGGUAAUAAUAAUCGUUAAUCUCUUCUGGGUUGCUUUGCAUUUCUGUUUUUGUUGGCUUAGUUGUGAAAUUUAGUGAAAUUAACAGAUACCCAUUUGAAGAAUUUGGUGUUUUGAUCUGUUUUCAUUCAUGAUUUUGAUUCUUAGCUGUUUCUUUCUUUGUUUGUGUGUUGCUGUGGCUGGGGAAAAGUUGACCCAUGUUAGAUUUGGAUUUGUACUUCUUUUGUUACCUUCUGUUGGGCUUAAUGGAGCUAGAUUAAGCCCUAUGUCCGGUUAGAUUAUUGGUUUUUUUGUUGGGAAACUUUUCAAGAAUUUAUGAUGUUCUUCACCGGUGCCUUUUGGAGUAACAACACUUGUCGAUAGCUGGAAUUUUACUACACUUUUUGCAUGUUGUACUCCUUGAAUUGAUUUUUUGUUGAUUCUUAACUGAAGUAUAUCAUAAGUGGCAUUCGAUCUGAAAUUAUGAACUUGGAUUUCUUUCUUAUAAUUUGCUUUGAGUUCAUGUUUCUGUUUCCCUGGAUUGGUAAAUUUUCUCAAAUCUGUACACUGUAAUUUUCAAAGAAAAUUCACUUGGUCUUCAAUUAUAGAUUAAUUAAAAGUUGUUGUCAUUAAAUGAAAUGAUAAUACCACCAUGACCAAUCAAUGGUUCUUUCUUUGUGGGUUUCUGUAAAUAUUGCUUUUAGGUCCUCUUCAUAUUUUACUAUCACAAUUAACUUCUUGAAGUAUCAAUUUGCUAGCUAAUUUUGCUAGAAAAGAAUUCUACAUAACUCUAUAGAUCAUGCUUACUGCCUAUUCCUGCUUCAUAACUGUUAAGUUAACAAUGGUUGUGUGGCAUUGCAUCUUAAAUGAAUAUUAUUCUGAACCUAGUUUUAUCUUUUUGGAAAAAGAAAAAGCUAUUUUUAUUAUAAAUUGCAUCCUAGUAGCAAUGGUUUCAGAUAUUUUGGGGUAAGUCCCCUUAAGGGUCUUGGGUUGAAGCCUCUAGGGGAAAGCUAAUAUCCUUGAUGUCUCUUGGAACUGAUGUUAGCGCAUCAACAUGUGUUGUGAAGUUUUUGUGUUAAAAUUGAUAUACAGACUGCAUAUAAAAUGGCUCCAACCUUAUUUACCACAUGCAGAUUCUUUUAUUAAAUUUAUGUUCUCUCUUAGAAAUACUUUAUUUGAUUCCAUGUAAUUGUCAACUUGAUUUUGUGUUCUUACCAGAUUCGUUGUUGCUUCCUCACUAAUACGUCUUUUUUUUUUCUUGAUUAUUCAUUUUUAGGUCUGGCCAAUCUCUCCGUUACAGGUUAGAAUUUAUCCCUCCAAAUCAACUUGCAAAUGAACUUAGCAGUCAUUAUGUGACAAUCGUGAUUCUUUACUUAUUUUAGUACCAUCAGAAUGCUUGUUAUGGUUUACUGAGCUAAAUUUAUCUUAUUUCUGUUUUUAUGGAGAAAUAUUACAUUUUUCUUCCAUUAUCCAUUUUCAUGACAUCUGAUACUAUUGAAGGUUAAUUUUGUUCGUUUUAAAUUCAACAUUUUCUUGUUCUGCAUUCUAUGAUGAAUCAGAACUCCUGAAGAAAUUGUGUCUUCUGCACUUCUUUAAAGGGAUUUGCCAACCAUUUUCUUAUGGUUAUUGAUGUUCCUCGAUUUAAUGCUUGCACACUACUUGUUACUGUGGGCACCCAUGAUCACACGUCCAAAAAUCUCUCUUCCAAUAUUUGUUGUGUCCAGAGAAGUCUCAACUCCCUUUUCCUGUCUUCUAUCUUUAUGAUAUGAACCGGACAAUCUAAGGAGACCAUUUAUCUAGAAUUUAACAUCAUUCAAGUUUCUUUGGAAUUCAAAUGUUCUAGAGUUGGGUCGGUUUCCUUUAAGAUUAAUCAAAAUAUACUUUAGCUGACACACGUUUAUAUAUAUAAAAGAGAAAGAAAAGGGCUGCAGUUUCUUCACUUCUCGGGUUGGAAACUUUUCAAGUAGAAUCACAUAGGCUUUUAGGUACUUCUUACUAGGAGUUUAUCUUGUUGAAUCUUGAAACUUAUUUUGAUAUUUGUGUUAUUUCCAAACUUGAUUUCAGCUAGUUAUUCAAAAUCUGUGAUAUAACUUGCUUAUUUGUUUCUUGAUAUUUUUUUUAUGCACAUGCUCACUUGUUUUUACAAUACAGACUGUGGGAGUAAUGACCCAGAUCUCAAGCAGGAGAUGGAAAAACAAUUUGUGGACCUUUUGACAGAAGAAUUGAAGCUUCAAGAAGCAGUUUCCGGCGAACACACUCGCCAUAUGAACAUCACUUUGUUUGAGGCAAAAAGAGCUGCUUCUCAG
rnacentral:lncRNA from 1 species